rnacentral:piRNA from 1 species
UUUGACUCUGACAUGGUGUUUGCUGAUGG